GGCGAGUGGCGAACGGGUGAGUAAUACAUCGGAACGUGUCCUGGAGUGGGGGAUAGCCCGGCGAAAGCCGGAUUAAUACCGCAUACGCUCUGUGGAGGAAAGCGGGGGAUCUUUCGGGACCUCGCGCUCAAGGGGCGGCCGAUGGCAGAUUAGGUAGUUGGUGGGGUAAAGGCCUACCAAGCCGACGAUCUGUAGCUGGUCUGAGAGGACGACCAGCCACACUGGGACUGAGACACGGCCCAGACUCCUACGGGAGGCAGCAGUGGGGAAUUUUGGACAAUGGGCGCAAGCCUGAUCCAGCAAUGCCGCGUGUGUGAAGAAGGCCUUCGGGUUGUAAAGCACUUUUGUCCGGAAAGAAAACCUCUGGGUUAAUACCCCGGGGGGAUGACGGUACCGGAAGAAUAAGCACCGGCUAACUACGUGCCAGCAGCCGCGGUAAUACGUAGGGUGCGAGCGUUAAUCGGAAUUACUGGGCGUAAAGCGUGCGCAGGCGGUGAUGUAAGACCGAUGUGAAAUCCCCCGGGCUUACCUGGGAACUGCAUUGGUGACUGCAUCGCUCGAGUAUGGCAGAGGGGGGUAGAAUCCACGUGUAGCAGUGAAAUGCGUAGAGAUGUGGAGGAAUACCGAUGGCGAAGGCAGCC
rnacentral:rRNA from 1 species